UGGGGAAUAUUGCACAAUGGGCGAAAGCCUGAUGCAGCGACGCCGCGUGAGGGAUGACGGCCUUCGGGUUGUAAACCUCUUUCAGUAGGGACGAAGCGCGAGUGACGGUACCUGCAGAAGAAGCACCGGCUAACUACGUGCCAGCAGCCGCGGUAAUACGUAGGGUGCGAGCGUUGUCCGGAAUUACUGGGCGUAAAGAGCUCGUAGGCGGUUUGUCACGUCGUCUGUGAAAUCCUAGGGCUUAACCCUGGACGUGCAGGCGAUACGGGCUGACUUGAGUACUACAGGGGAGACUGGAAUUUCUGGUGUAGCGGUGGAAUGCACAGAUAUCAGGAAGAACACCGAUGGCGAAGGCAGGUCUCUGGGUAGUAACUGACGCUGAGGAGCGAAAGCAUGGGUAGCGAACAGG
rnacentral:rRNA from 1 species